GCUCUUUUCUUUAACGCCCAAGACCCUAUAUCUGGGGACUGCCGGUUCGUCCGGCUAUGGCGAUAAACUGCGGCGUGAAAUAGACGCAGCGGACCCGGGGGCAGUACCCGGCGGCUCCACCAAAACCGCUCGCGCCGCGAGCGGCUCUGACGGGGCCGAACCAGGAUCGACGUGUGUUGAAAGGCGCUGUUUUCGCUCGGAAUGGGACCACCGCAACGGCCCAUCACACAAGUGCCAACGAUAACGAGGCGCUCGCGAUUGCGGCCUAACCCAAGACCUCACGGUCUAGGUUAGAUUGACAAAAGCGCGGUUCGGGCCGCACCGGGCAACAGAAGCGGAUUCCG
rnacentral:tmRNA from 1 species